rnacentral:tRNA from 1 species
GGCUGUGGCUCAGUGGAAGAGAGCCUGCCUGGAAAGUGGGAAGCCCUGGGUUCCAGUCCUAGCACCA